ACUCAGGCACGAUCCCGCGCGGGCGCGGGAACCGACCUGAAGUUCAAUCCUGAGGGA
rnacentral:ncRNA from 1 species